AAGCCAGACUCCUACGGGAGGCAGCAGUGAGGAAUAUUGGUCAAUGGGAGAGAUCCUGAACCAGCCAAGCCGCGUGAGGGAAGACGGCCCUAUGGGUUGUAAACCUCUUUUGUCGGAGAACAAAACCCGGGACGUGUCCCGGACUGCGUGUAUCCGAAGAAAAAGCAUCGGCUAACCCCGUGCCAGCAGCCGCGGUAAUACGGAGGAUGCGAGCGUUAUCCGGAUUUAUUGGGUUUAAAGGGUGCGUAGGCGGUCCGUUAAGUCAGAUGUGAAAUCCGGGGGCUCAACCCCCGAACUGCAUUUGAAACUGUAGGUCUUGAGUAUCGGAGAGGCAGGCGGAAUUCCUAGUGUAGCGGUGAAAUGCGUAGAUAUUAGGAGGAACACCAGUGGCGAAGGCGGCCUGCUGGACGACAACUGACGGUGAGGCGCGAAAGCGUGGGGAGCAAACAGGAUUAGAUACCCGCGUA
rnacentral:rRNA from 1 species